CCUACGGGACGCACCAGUGGGGAAUAUUGCACAAUGGGCGCAAGCCUGAUGCAGCCAUGCCGCGUGUAUGAAGAAGGCCUUCGGGUUGUAAAGUACUUUCAGUCGGGAGGAAGGUGGUGAGCUUAAUACGCUCAUCAAUCGACGUUACCGACAGAAGAAGCACCGGCUAACUCCGUGCCAGCAGCCGCGGUAAUACGGAGGGUGCAAGCGUUAAUCGGAAUUACUGGCGUAAAGCGCACGCAGGCGGUUGAUUGAGUCAGAUGUGAAAUCCCCGGGCUUAACCCGGGAAUUGCAUCUGAUACUGGUCAGCUAGAGUCUUGUAGAGGGGGGUAGAAUUCCAUGUGUAGCGGUGAAAUGCGUAGAGAUGUGGAGGAAUACCGGUGGCGAAGGCGGCCCCCUGGACAAAGACUGACGCUCAGGUGCGAAAGCGUGGGGAGCAAACAGGAUUAGAUACCCUCGUAGUC
rnacentral:rRNA from 1 species